rnacentral:lncRNA from 1 species
GGGAGAAGUUGCCUUAAGUAAACAAAUUAACUGGAGGAGGGUGCAGUACAUCUAUUUUUGUAGUACCUACUGCGGUGUCUGGCGUUUGGUGGGUAUACUGGUUGGUGAAUGAAUGAAAGGAAAGAAGUUUCAUUCAUCUCGUCGGACCUGGUCAGUGUUGAAGGAGUGCUGGUAAAUUAUUUGGAAAUAGAACAUGAACCAUUAUCUUAGCACUUAAGGGCAAAAUGCUCUUUCUUUGCGUUCCACACCAUUGCUCUAGUACAGCGGUCCUCAACCGUGGCGUCCAAGGACCCUCGCAUAAGAGUCACCUUGAGGGGUUGGGGAUUUAGCUCAGUGGUAGAGCGCUUGCCUAGCAAGCGCAAGGCCCUGGGUUCGGUCCCCAGCUCCGAAAAAAAGAAAAAAAAAAAAAAGUCACCUGAGAGCACCCGCAUAUCAGCUAUUCACAUUAUGAUUCAUAAUGUAAUUCAUAAUUCUUUUUGUUCUAUAACUAAUGCAGUCUUCAUGUAACAAUAACAAAAUUACAGUUAUGAAGCAGCGAUGCAAAUAAUUUUAUGGUUGGGGGUCACCACAACAUGAACUGUUCGCAGCAGUCUAGUUCUUGACUCGUGCAGCCCUCAAGAGUGAAUGUAUCAGAGAAGUAACUGGAAACCGGGAUUGUCAGUGCCGCUUUUUUUUUUUUUUAAAUAUAGUUCUGUCAUAUUACUUUUUACAUGGGUGGGUAUCUUCUCUGAGGUGGAAGUAGAUGUACACAAUCAGGCCAGCUAUGCAAUUUGUUGUUUGCCGUUUUACAGAAGUGACGUAUUCUCGAAGCACAGGGGAAAACGAACAAGUUAGCCGCAGCCAGCAACGAGAUCUCCGUCGAGUAAGAGACCUGUGUCGAAUUCUGAAGUUGCCACUAACGUUCGAGGAAACCGCAGUCUCCUACUACCAAAAGGCGUAUCAGCUGUCUGGCAUCCGCGCUGCUAGGCUGCAGAAGAAGGAAGUGGUAGUCGGAUGCUGUGUUUUAAUCACCUGUCGGCAACAUAACUGGCCCCUCACCAUGGGAGCCAUCUGCACUCUGUUGUAUGCAGAUCUGGAUGUGUUUUCCAGCACCUACAUGCAGAUAGUGAAGCUUCUGGGGCUGGA